AUUGAACGCUGGCGGCGUGCUUAACACAUGCAAGUCGAACGAAGUGGCGAACGGGUGAGUAACGCGUAAUCAACCUGCCCUUCAGAGGGGGAUAACAGUUGGAAACGACUGCUAAUACCGCAUACUGAAGGAGGUGUUUGCGUCUGAUUGGCUAGUUGGGGGGGUAACGGCCCACCAGGGCGAUGAUCAGUAGGCGGUCUUGGAGGAAGGACCGCCACAUUGGGACUGAGGCACGGCCCAAGCUCCUAAGGGAAGCAGCAAGGGGGAAUCAUCCGAAAAGGGCGGAAGUCUUACGGAGCAACGCCGCGUGAGAGAUGACGGCCUUCGGGUUGUAAAAGUAUUUUAAGCGGGACGCGGUACCGGAAUAAAAAGCCACGGCUAACUACGUGCCAGCCGCCGCGGUAAUUC
rnacentral:rRNA from 1 species